UACGUAGGGGGCAAGCGUUGUCCGGAAUCAUUGGGCGUAAAGCGCGCGUAGGCGGCCAUCUAAGUCAGACGUGAAAUCCCCCGGCUUAACCUGGGAACUGCGUCUGAUACUGGACGGCUUGAGUAUGGGAGAGGGAUGUAGAAUUCCAGGUGUAGCGGUGAAAUGCGUAGAUAUCGUAAGGAAGACCAGUGGCGAAGGCGGGUCUCUGGACAGUUCCUGACGCUGAGGCACGAAGGCCAGGGGAGCAAACGGG
rnacentral:rRNA from 1 species